GUCCACGCCGUAACGAUGUCGACUAGCCGUUGGGCCCUUUAGGGUUAGUGGCGCAGCUAACGCAUUAAGUCGACCGCCUGGGAGUACGGCCGCAAGGUUAAACUCAAAUGAAUUGACGGGGCCCGCACAAGCGGUGGAGCAUGUGGUUUAAUUCGAUGCAACGCGAAGAACCUUACCUACCCUUGACAUGUCUGAAAUCCCCGAGAGAUUGGGGAGUGCCUUCGGGAAUCAGAACACAGGUGCUGCAUGGCUGUCGU
rnacentral:rRNA from 1 species